GAUGAACGCUGGCGGCGUGCUUAACACAUGCAAGUCGAACGAUGAAAUGGAGCUUGCUCCAUGGAUUAGUGGCGCACGGGUGCGUAACACGCGAAUAACCUGCCCUGAAUUUUGGAAUAACCCAGGGAAACCUGGGCUAAUACCGGAUAAGUAAACCUGUGACAUCACAUGGUUUUGGAAAGUUUUUCGAUUAAGGAUGGAUUCGCGGCCUAUCAGCUUGUCGGUGAGGUAAUGGCGCACCAAGGCGACGACGGGUAGCCGGCCUGAGAGGGUGAACUGCCACACUGGGAGUGAGACACGGCCCAGACUCCUACGGGAGGCAGCAGUGGGGAAUAUUGCGCAAUGGACGAAAGUCUGACGCAGCGACGCCUCGUGAGGGACGAAGGUCUUCGGAUUGUAAACCUCUUUCAGCAGGGACGAAGCGAAAGUGACGGUACCUGCAGAAGAAGCACCGGCUAACUAUGUGCCAGCCGCCGCCGUAA
rnacentral:rRNA from 1 species